AAGCGUGCAUCGGCGGGUGGUGCAGUAUCCUAGUCGGGCGCGCUGCAUCUGAAGACGGGCCUAAAAAUCCGUCGCGGGCACAGCGAUGAAGUCCCUGGUGGUGGCCUUGGACGCCCAGUCCGGGGUUGCGGCUGGGGGUUAAGGAGGCGGGGCAGCCUGCAAUGGCAUGUGGGCGAUGACCCUGGCUCCGCGGAGACCCAAGACUGUGGGGAGCUGACCGCUUGUGCGGUCGGGGAACUACGGCUUGGGUGACGAACCUGCAUCCCGGUGGGACGUGCGUGUGGUACUGAACGCUGGGUGCAGCGUAGCCUGCCUUGAGCGGGUGAAGCGGGAGAGCGGGUUCAGGCGGGUCCCCGAAGGCCAAGGGGAGCCGAACCGGUGCCGCUUGAAACUUCCCCCGCAAGAGAGGCUAGGAUGCAGCGUGACCGUAGGGGAAAACCUCUAGGCUGUUCCGCCAGGAGGUACACCGAGGAUUGCGGUGUGGUCUGAGUGGUAAUCCAGCCCUGCUCGUGGUGACACGGCAGAGCGGCCGCAAAGGGGAAACCGCCACGGCGGCGACGCUGCGGAGGGCCGUUGGGAAAACCUGCUGGACCUAAGCCACAAUGUUUACUCGGUGUGCUGCCACCCGUCGAGCCUUUUCG
rnacentral:sRNA from 1 species